rfam:Claviceps purpurea 20.1, WGS project CAGA01000000 data, contig: scaffold00054
GGCCGUGUGGCUCAAUGGCAGAGCGUCUGACUACGAAUCAGAAGGUCGCAGGUUCGACCCCUGUCUCGGUCA